UCUCCGUUGGUGAACCAGCGGAGGGAUCAUUACUGGAAUCGCAAGAUCCCACAACCCUGUGAACCUACCGAAACGUUGCCUCGGCGGGUGUCUGCCCCCCGCGCCGGGCGCUGCGCCCGCCGGCAGCCCCCUACCCUGUCUCUGCAGCGUGGCAUCUCAGAGUCCCAGAAAGCAAGUCAAAACUUUCAACAACGGAUCUCUUGGCUCUA
rnacentral:misc_RNA from 1 species